UUAGAACACACAUUGGGCAUCUUCCUUCUUUGAUCGAGAUGGACGCUUGGACCAAAAUGAUCCAUGUACUAACAACUUUUUGGGAUGAUCAGAAUAUGGUAUUUCGCUUUGGGGAUGUUGAAUUGACUCCUACCAUUGAAGAGGUAUUGAUUUGUUACGAGAGUACGGAAAUGUGUUUUAAGAGAAGGGAGACACCUGAUAAGAACAUUUUAGUCCCGGUAAGAUCAAGGAGGUAUUUUUAACUGACGACGACAUCUGUCUAGGAGAACGUGAUAGAUCAAAUAUCACUUUUUGUGAGUGGUAUCAUCGGUUAGGGAGAUUCAAUGCUUUUCACAGGCAUAAAUAUGAGUCAGAAGCAAAAUGGAAGGAGACGAAAGCCUUUGCAUUUGCGGUAGGCCUACUUGGAACCAUGGUGUUCCCACAAGGGGAAAAUGACACAAUUCAUCCGAGGGUUGUCUCAGUGACCCAUGCACUCUUCUUUGGAAUAGAGUAUAAUUCUAAAAAGGUAUUCUACAACUUAGCUCCUAUGAUUGUCGCCGACAUAUAUCUAGCUUUGGGAAGGUGUCAAGUCGAGAAUCAUUUAUUUCAAGGAUGCAACCUUAUAUUACAAUGGUGGAUGAUGAUGCAUUUGGUGAAAAAUCCUAGAACGGCACAACCUGACCACAAAACAAGGUGGAAUCUGCUAGAAUCGCACGACAUGUGGUUGUUUUUACACAGGUUUAAAAGGGAAGCAUCUGAUGAAUUUUGGUUUAAGACUCUUGGAGAAUUUAGAGAUGACGAUGUUCAAUGGUCCCUUAACUAUUUUCAUUCAGGGAAAUAUAUUAUUUGAGGGGGAGAGUGUCCUUUUCUAGUGCUUUCGAGUCUCAGGGGAACCCGUCCCUACAAUCCUGGCAGAGUUCUUAGGCAAUUCGAGAUCAAGUAGGAGACACCUCAAAUCGAUUCUAUGCUCAAAUUCUUCACCGAAUAUGAUGAAAGUGAGCCCCCGCUCAAAGACUAUAUGAUAAAUGGAUGGAGAAGGAGAAGGUGGAUGGAAGUCUCUUUGCGUAUAGGGUAUGAACCUGAAGUCAUCGACACUUACAAGGAGUGGUUAAAAAAGAGCCUCGUCGGAGCAUUGAUCUAGGGCCAAACGUGCCCACUCGUGUCGUGGAUGUAGAAUCUGAACAUCAUAUCCGACUCUACAGGCUUCAGGAUGAGUUUCAGAAAAAUAAAAUCGCGCACCGACAAAUGCAUGUAGAAGAUGCUUUAACAAUACGUAUGUUGAGGGAAGAGUUGAAAAAAGCUAGGCAAGAGGAUGAUGAUGCUAGGCAGUGUUUAAUCGAUUUGGAUAAUAGCAUUGCCUCUCAAUUCGAUAGUAUAGGAAAAAUGAAUUACGACAGCAAGGCACAAUUAUGCGGGAGUCAUCUUAGCAUCAAUAGGUAUCAAAUAGCAUAGGAGAUGAACAAGGCAAAGAAGGAAAAGGUAGACGAAGAAGCCUCCGAUAGCUAGUUUUUCUAUUUCCCCUGCGCGGGAACUUAUUUUAUUUCAUGUUAUUUCCCUUUUUUCCGUAAAUAUUGUAUCCCUCUUUGGUUCUCUUUUGUAGGCAUUUAUGCCCUUUUUCGUGUCUAUAUAAGUUGGGGGAUAAUGGAUUGACUUUAAGGAAGCAUAUAUUUUCUUCAAAAUCGUUAAGCCUGAACCCUUGGCUCAAAAAGGGUCACCCUAGUUAGGAUACACAUUAUUAUAAUGUUUUGUGUAAUAUAACUGUCUUGUGUGCUUGUGUGUGUUUGUUUGGAUCAAAGGCAAGUUUAUCCUCUAUGCUCCUAUGGAUGAAUUUGCCUAUGACUCAAACAAUUCUACGUGGUUAUUUCUUAUCAAAUAUUUUGCAUUACUUAUCACAUACAGAAACUAACACAUCUGCCUUUGAGUUGUUUUACUUUACAGAUAAUAAAAACUACUUCGUGUUGAUAUAAGCUGGCAGAGCAUCCCUAUUUUACCCGGUCAAAAGAGCACAAAAUCCCAUCCUCUGACCAUCAUUCAAUAAUGAUUGGAAAUGAUGAAGAAAACACAUUGACCAUCAGGGAUAAUGUAAUAGUGGAACAGAAUGAGAUGAUUGCGGAACUCGCAAGAAAUCUUGAAAUGCUUCAGGAGGAAAUAAAUCAUACUCGAGAUUUGGCUCACCUGGCCAUCACUGUUAAUGCUUCCGCUCCAGGAAGACACGGGAGUCCACUCCAAAUCCCUUCCCUUUGUAUGCCUAUUCUCGGGGAUCAGCCAAAUAACAUAUCACCCAUCUCUGCCCCUCCACUUUUCCAAAAUACCAAUCGCGAAAAUAACCCAGAUGCCUACCAUCCACAAAAUCCAUCUCUAACCCCACAAAAACCAUCUCCGAAUCUAUUCCCAAAUCCCCAGAACACAUUUUCAAAUCAAGAAAAUUCAUUCCCAAAUCCACAAGAUUCACUUCCAAACCCGCAAAAUCCAUCAAAUCUAUUCCCGAAUCCACCAAAUUCGUUUCCAAAUCUGCAAAAUUCUUCUCCAAUUCCACCAAACCACUUGCAAAUUCCACAAAAACUUUCUAAAUUUCAAAAUAUCCUCCCCACCUACCAACCAACUUCCUUUCAUCCACAAAAUCAAGCCUCCCUUCCAAAGCCCUCUCAUGCCAUCAUAUCCCCCAACAUCUAUAAUCCUCUUCCUAAUUUCAAGAUGGACCAGUACGAAGAAAAAGAGAAAGAGUGGAGGAACGAUCAUAAAAUAAAGUUUCUAGCUAUGAAGAAAGAGAUCAUGAGGAUCAAAGAAUCUCAUGAAGCGAGGAACGACGACGGUUUAGGGUACGAUGACUUAUGUGUUCACCCUAGAGUAGAUCUACUAGAAGGGUACAAGGUCCCCAAGUUUAAAGUAUUUGAUGGGGCUGGAAAUCCAAUGGGCCAUCUGAGGAGGUAUUAUGAGCAAUUGGUAGGGAUUGGAAAAAUGAGGCGUUAUUGAUGCGCCUAUUCAGCCAAAGUUUAAGCGGUGAAGCCUUAGAGUGGUUCAUGUCUCAGCAGUUGAAAAAAUGGAUUGUUUGGAAAGCAUUGGCCAAGGGUUUUCUCGACAGGUUCGCAUUCAACAUUAAAAUUGUCCCGAAUUGGUAUUCACUAGAUCGGAUCAAAUAGAAGAGUGAUAAGAGUUUUCGAGACUAUGCUUUUCAUUAGAGGAAGAAAGCUGCCAAAGUGCAACCCCCAUGUCUGAGGAAGAGAUGGUAUCCGUGUUCUCUCGCGCUUUAGAAGGGGAAUAUUAUACCAGGAUGGUGUCCGCUGUCAGGGAAACUUUUGCAAAUUUGGUAAAAAUCGGGGAAUCACUAGAAGCAGGUAUUCAUACAGGAAAAAUUGCCAAAACCCCAACAUUAUCUGGAACUGCUAUGUUCUCGAAGAAGAAAAAGGAGGAUGUAGGCACAGUUUCUACUGAUUCUAUUGCAAAAACAAAAAGAGGUUCAACUCUAGGAAUAUUUUCUCUUCUUCGCCAUCGCCAAACUUUCAACAUGUAUUCUACACCCAACCCCAAUACCAACCUUCACUUCCAAAUGUCCAACCUCAGUACCAAACUCCACUCCCAAACAGUCAACCCUAGUACGAAGCUCCACUCCCAAAUGUCUAAUCCCAAUUCCAAGCUUCGCAGCCAAAUAUUUUUCCUCAAUGUCAAGUUCCACCGCUGAAUUAUCAUCCUAAUGUCCAAUCCACUCUUCCAAACAUCUGAAAAAAUAUCCAAGAACCUCCAAAUUAUCAUCAAGUUCCUCCUUCUACAAAUCAGAAUCAUUAUAACACUCCGCAUCCAAACAUCGAAAAGAAAUCUCCCCGAAACUUUACUCCGCUUGCUGAUAAUCGCACCCAACUAUUUGAAAGAUUGAAGAAUGCUGGUCACUUGAAACCAACCUAGCCAAAGCCUAUCAAUACCAACUCCCAAUUUUAUCAUCCUAAUUAAAAUUGUGCCUAUCAUUCAAGAGCAGCAGGGCACAGUACCGAGGACUGUUUUAUCUCAAAACACAGGAUCCAAGAUCUGAUUGAUCAAAAGGUCAUCACGCUUCAGUCACCGACGCCAAAUGUCAAAAGUAACCCAUUACCUAAUCAUGGGGGACCUACAGUUAACAUGGUUGAAAUGGAAGGAGAAUGUGCGUCUGUCAAGACUAUUACUAAGGUGAAUACAGAAGAGUACAAAAGAGCAGAAGAGGUAGAAAAGAUAGAGAGAGCUGUGGCUUUCUUAAGUGUCAAUGAGAAAACCCCAUUUAUAGUGAUGACGGCCCCGAUCCAAGUGUACACUCCUCCACUAAGGAAGGAAUUUAUUGUACAGACCACUGUUGCCCAAGGGAUGACACAAUCGGGACGAUGCUACGUCCCUAAAGAAUUGACCAACAAAAAAGAUUCACAGAAAAGGCCAAUCAUUGAAGGGGAGGAUGAGGAAUUUUGGAGGCGUAUGCAACCCAAAUAUUAUUCAAUUUUCAAACAUUUAGAGAAGACGCCAACCCAAAUCUCCAUUUUGGCACUAUUAAUGAGUUCGCAAUACCAUUGACAAGCUUUAUCGAAGGUCUUGUUUGAAGCGUAUGUUCCCGCAGGAAUGAGUGUUGAGAAACUGGCUAUGAUGAUAGGAAACAUUGUGGGGAAUCAUCACAUAUUAUUUGGUGAUGAAGAGUUGCCGUUUGAAGGAGCAAUGCACAACAAAGCCUUGCAUGUCACUGUCAUUUACCGAGAUUAUAUGAUUAAUCAGGUAUUAAUAGAUGACGGAUCUGGUAUGAAUAUUUGUCCUCUCUUCAUGUUAGUUCAAAAAGGCUAUGAUUUGGGAAAAAUUCAUCAAAGCCAUAUAAAUGUGAGAGCAUUCAAUGGAGGGCAGAGAGAUACCAUAGGAGAAAUUGAUUUGUAUAUCCAAAUGGGACCUACUGAGUUUAAAACUAAGUUUUAUGUUAUGGAUAUUCAUCCUAGCUACAACCUGGUCUUGAGAAUACCAUGGAUACAUGGUGCAAAGGCCGUUUCAUCACCCCUUCAUCAACUAUUGAAGUUCAUUUGGGAGGAUCAUGAAGUAGUCAUCCAAGGGGAAGGAAGCCGAGCAGAUCGUCCCAAUGGUUAUGUGCCGGUGAUUGAAAAUGUUCCAAAGGGUAGUAGUUUCUAUACGGUUGAAAUUAUAAAUGCUGUGGAGAAGGAUCUGAUGCUCAAAGCGCCAAUGCCUUCUGUCUACAAAAUAAUUGAGACGGUGAUGUUAAGAAAUGGAUUCGAGCCUGGUCGAGGUUUGGGUAAGAAUCUUCAAGGAAUUAUUGAGCCUGUUAUGAUCCCAGAGAAAGCCUCUAAGUAUGGGUUAGGAUAUCAACCUACCGAGAAGGAUAUGGUUGAGGAUAAGUCAGAGCAGAGUCUGUGUAGGCCCUUUCUGCUCCUGUACCAGUCAUUUUUUGUACGGGAGAUGUCGAAUGAUGAUGGUCUUGAGGAUGGUAUAGGAUAUUUGUUCGAGGGAUGUAAUGCUGUACCAAAAGAUUUCCCAAAGUCCGGCGAGUUGAAGAAGAUUGCGCCAGGGGAGGCCUUGGAAAAUUGGACCUCCACUCCACUCAUAACCUGUCGCCCGUCGUGGUACAUGAAAGGGAAAUUACUAAUAGUUUUAAAAUCGGUGAUGAUCUGGAAGAGGCCCGGCGAUCCACCCUUUAUAUCUUAAAACUUUCCUUUUGUAUUUUACUGCUUUCAAAAAGGCAUGAACUUGUAUUUACGCGAGUCAUGAGCCAUGGUUUUGUAAUUAUCUCGCAAAUUUCAUUGAAAAGGCUUUCAUUCAUUUAAAAUAAUUUUUUUAUUAUUCCUGAAACAUUCUUAUUCGUAUAUUUUAUUAUUAUCUCAUUAUCAUCUAACUUGGUUUGUUUAUCCAUUACAGUAACAGUAACUUAAAAUCUGCCAAUGUCAUGUCAUGUCAUGUCAAAGCUUAGACAAACAAAAUAAAGAGAAUGAUGAUGAUUGGAAGGAUGGUGAUGAGGAACAAUUAGUUGAAGAUAUAGAGGAGUUUGAGAAUCGAGAAAAGCCUAACCUAGAGGAAACUGAAAUAGUCAACCUCGGAGAUCAUAAUGAAAUCAAAGAAACAAGUGUCAGCGUCCACCUGGCGAAAGCACAAAAGAGAGAGCUCAUUCACCUAUUACGGGAAUAUAUUGACGUGUUUUCUUGGUCCUAUGAUGAUAUGCCAGGAUUGAGCACCAGUAUUGUGUUGCAUAAGUUGCCGAUAAAUCCAGAGUUUGAUCCAGUCAAGCAAAAAAUGCGGAAAUUCAAGCCAGAUUUAAGUCUAAAGAUCAAGGAAGAAGUGAUAAAAUAAAUCCAGUCUAAGGUUAUGGAAGUCACAAAAUAUCCAACGUGGUUGGCCAACAUCGUCCCUAUGCCGAAGAAGGACGGCAAGAUUCGAAUUUGUUUUGACUAUAGAGACUUGAAUAGAGCCAGUUCUAAAGAUAAUUUUCUGUUGCCCAACAUCGACAUCCUCAUCGAUAACUAUGCAAAGCAUGAAAUGCAUUCAUUCAUUGAUUGUUUUGCCGGGUAUCAUCAAAUAUUGAUGGAUGAGGAAGAUGCAGAAAAGACUGCUUUAAUUACGCCCCGAGGUGUUUAUCAUUAUAAGGUAAUGCCGUUUGGUCUUAAGAAAGCAGGUGCAACAUAUAUGAGGGCUAUGACGAUGAUUUUCCAUGAUAUGAUCCAUAAAGAGAUUGAGGUGUAUGUGGAUGAUGUAAUUAUCAAAUCCUAGAAGAGUUCAGAUCAUCUGACUCAUCUGGAGAAAUUCUUUAACAGAUUAAGAAAGUACAGUUUGAAGUUAAAUCCUGCUAAGUGUGCUUUUGGUGUGCGAUCAGGGAAGUUGUUGGGGUUCAUAGUCAGCAGAAGAGGCAUCAAGUUAGACCCAUCCAAAAUCAAGACAAUCCAGGACUUUCCACCGCUGAGGACCAAGAAGGAAGUUAUGAGUUUCAUAGGUUGUUUGAAUUACAUUAGCAGGUUCAUAGCUCAAUCGACGGUCAUUUGCGAGCCAAUUCUCAAGAUGUUGAAGAAAAAUGCAUUGAAUGAGUGGACAGAAGAAUGUCAAAGAGCUUUUGACUGCAUCAAGGAAUAUCUGUCUACACCACCGGUUUUGGUUCCACCAAGAGAAGGAAUUCCAUUAUUGCUUUACCUGUCAGUCUUAGAAAAUGCUUUUGGAUGUGUCCUCGGGCAACAUGAUAAGACCGGUAGGAAAGAGAAAGUCAUUUACUACUUGAGUAAAAGUUUAUGCCAUAUGAAGCCCGUUAUACUCUUGUAGAAAGGAUAUGUUGCGCUUUGACUCGGGCCGCACAAAAGUUGAGGCAUUAUCUAUAUUUGUACACGACAUACCUCAUCUUGAGAAUAGAUCCAUUAAAGUAUAUAUUCCAGAAGGCCAUGCCCACAGGAAAGCUAGCCAAGUGGCAAAUGUUGCUGAGAGAGUUUGACAUUGUGUAUGUAACUUAAAAGGCAAUCAAGGGGAAAGCUUUGACAGAUCAUUUGGCAGAGAAUCUAGUUGAUGAUGAGUAUGAACCACUUCAAACUUACUUCCCAGAUGAGGAAAUUCUAUUCAUGGGAGAAGACAUUACAGGAAUUUACCCUGGAUAGAGGUUAUUCUUUGAUGGAGCGGUCAACUUUAAAAGUUCAGGUAUCGAAGCAGUGUUGGUCUCAGAAAUGGGUCAACAUUCUCCAGUAAUUGCUAAGUUGCGUUUCCCAUGCACCAACAACAUGGCCGAAUAUAAAGUUGUAUCCUGGGUCUCAAAUUGGCACUUGAUAUGGGUGUUCGUGAAUUGCUAGUCAUCUGGGAUUUAGAUUUCCUGAUUCACCAGGCACGGGGAGAAUGAGAGGUAAAAAAUUCCAAGAUUACUCCUUAUGUUGAGCUGGUAAAGGAAUUAUGUGGAAAAUUCAAAGAAGUUGAUUUCAGACAUAUGCCAAGUAUACAAAAUGAGUUUGUUGACGCUUUGGCCACUAUAUCCUCCAUGAUUCGGCAAUCAGAUCAGAGUUACAUUGAUCAUUUGGAAAUAGGCUUCAAGGAGAAACCUACACAUUGUGCACGUGUUGAAGAGGAGCCCGAUGGAAAGCCAUGGUACUAUGGCAUUAAAAGGUAUUUAGAAUCUGGAAUAUAUCCUGAAGAGGCCAGCAACAACCAAAAGAAAACAAUCCGGCGUUUGGCAAAAAACUACUUUCCAAGUGGGGAAUUUCUUUUUAGGAGGACGCCUGAUUUAGGAUUUUUAAGAUGCAUCGAUGCUACGAAAGCCAAUAAAUUGAUAAAAGAAGUACACGUAGGAGUUUGCGGACCCCACAUGAAUGGGUUUGUCCUUGCUAGAAAGAUACUAAAAACCGGCUACUUCUGGAUGACUAUGGAAAAUGAUUGUAGUAAGUAUGUGCAGAGAUGUCCAAAAUGUCAGACACACGGAGAUUUGAUUUGAAUGCCUCCACAUGAGCUUUAUGCAAUAAAUUCACCUUGGCCUUUCGUAGCUUGGGGCAUGGAUAUUAUCGGACCGAUAGAGCCAUCAACAUCGAAUGGGCAUAGAUUUAUUUUGGUUGCCAUUGACUACUUCACUAAUUGGGUCGAAGUUGCAUCAUACAAAGCCAUCACUAAGAAAGUGGUUGCAGAUUUCAUCAGGAAUAACCUGAUUUGCCGAUUUGGAGUGCCAGAAUCAAUCAUUACUGAUAAUGGGGCAAACUUGAACAGUCACUUGAUGAAAGAAGUUUGUGAUCAGUUCAAAAUCAUGCAUCACAACUUAACCGCAUAUCAUCCACAGAUGAAUGGAGCCGUAGAAGCUUCCAAUAAGAACAUCAAGAAGAUCUUGAUAAAGAUGGUUGAAAAUGAUAGAUCAUGGUGUGAGAUGUUACCUUAUGCUUUGCUAGGAUAUCGCACAACAGUUCAAACCUCCAUCGGUGCAACUCCCUAUUUGCUGGUUUAUGGGAAUGAAGCUGUGAUACCUGUUGAGGUUGAAAUACCUUCCCUGAGAAUUAUUCAGGAAGCCGAACUAAGUAACGAAGAUUAGGCUCGUUGUGAACAACUAUGAAAAGAGAAUGGUUGCCAUGUUUCAUGGUCAGUUAUAUCAGCACAGGAUGAUUCGUGCUUUCAAUAAGAAAGUGAGAGCUCGAACAUUUGAAGUUGGACAAUUAGUUCUCAAAUGCAUACUCCCUCACCAAGAAGAGUACAAGGGCAAGUUCGCUCCAAAUUGGCAAGGUCCAUACAUAGUUCGCAAGGUACAAUCUGGAGGGGCUCUGAUUUUGUCUGGGAUAGAUGGCCAUGAGUGGACCAAACCAAUCAAUUCUGAUACGGUGAAAAGAUACUAUGUUUGAAGGGCGUUCUAGUUUUGUGGUUCUUAGUUUAUCUUUAAUCGCCGUGUAAUAAUGUGUUUUAUGACAUGUAAUUGCCUAGAACACCUUUCCCUUUAUGUACGAACUACGUUUGACCUGAAUUCCCAAGAAAGGGAUACGUAGGCGGCCUAUGUCGGCUUCGGUCAACCCCUUAGAAAAUUUAUCCUUUCCCUUUAUGUAUGAACUACAUGAUGACUUGAAUUCCCAAGAAAGGGAUACGUAGGCGGCCUAUGUCGGCUUCGGUCAACCCAUUAAUUUCUUUUGUAUAUCCCUAGCAUAGACACACAUUAGGUAUCUUCCUUCUUUGAUCGAGAUGGACGCUUGGCCUGAAAUGAUCCCUGUACUAACAAAUUUUUGGGAUGAUCAGAAUAUGGUAUUUCUCUUUCGGGAUGUUGAAUUGACUCCUACCAUUGAAGAAGUAUUGAUUUGAUACGAGAGUACGGAAAUGUGUUUUAAGAGAAGAGAGACACCUGAUAAGAACAUUUUAGUCCCGGUUGUGUGGGAUCGUUAAAAGAUCAAGGAGGUAUUUUUAACUGA
rnacentral:lncRNA from 1 species